rnacentral:tRNA from 1 species
GUGGGUGUAGCUCAGUGGUAAACCACAUGCUUAGCAUGCAUGAAGUCCUGGGUUCAAUCCCCAGCACCUUCA